GACGAACGCUGGCGGCGCGCCUAAUGCAUGCAAGUCGAGCGACGCAUGCCCGGUGGGUAACCACUAGGUAUGACGGAGCGGCGAACGGGUGAGUAACACGUGAGUAACCUGCCCCGAAGACCGGGAUAGCCCGGGGAAACCCGGAUUAAUACCGGAUACCCUCUGGAUCGCAUGGUCCGGUGAGGAAAUGCCUUUGUGCUUCGGGAUGGACUCGCGGCCUAUCAGCUUGUUGGUGAGGUAACGGCUCACCAAGGCUACGACGGGUAGCUGGUCUGAGAGGACGAUCAGCCACACUGGGACUGAGACACGGCCCAGACUCCUACGGGAGGCAGCAGCAGGGAAUCUUGUCCAAUGGGCGCAAGCCUGAGACAGCGACGCCGCGUGAGGGAUGAAGGCCUUCGGGUUGUAAACCUCUUUCAGGAGGGACGAAAUUGACGGUACCUCCAGAAGAAGCCCCGGCCAACUACGUG
rnacentral:rRNA from 1 species